AGCAGCCGCGGUAAUUCCAGCUCCAAUAGCGUAUAUUAAAGUUGUUGCAGUUAAGAAGCUCGUAGUUGAAUUUCGGGAUCAAUAUGUUGGUCGUGCCUCGGUACGUACUGGCAUUAUUGGUUUCUACCUUCUGAAGAACCUCGAUGUCAUUAAUUUGGUGUCUUGGGGAAUCAGGACUGUUACUUUGAAAAAAUUAGAGUGUUUAAAGCAGGCUCACGCUUGAAUACAUUAGCAUGGAAUAAUGAAAUAGGACGUUUGAUUCUAUUUUGUUGGUUUCUAGGAUUGACGUAAUGAUUAAUAGGGAUAGUUGGGGGCAUUAGUAUUCAAUUGUCAGAGGUGAAAUUCUUGGAUUUAUUGAAGACUGACUACUGCGAAAGCAUUUGCCAAGGAUGUUUUCAUUAAUCAAGAACGAAGUUAGGGGAUCGAAGACGAUCAGAUACCGUCGUAGUCUUAACCAUAAACUAUGCCGACUAGGGAUCGGAUGAUGUUAUUUUUAAUGA
rnacentral:rRNA from 1 species